rnacentral:misc_RNA from 1 species
GAUGAAGAACGUAGCGAAAUGCGAUAAGUAGUGUGAAUUGCAGAAUUCAGUGAAUCAUCGAAUCUUUGAACGCACAUUGCGCCCCUUGGUAUUCCAUGGGGCAUGCCUGUUCGAGCGUCAUUUGUACCUUCAAGCUUUGCUUGGUGUUGGGUGUUUGUCUCGCCUUUGCGUGUAGACUCGCCUUAAAAUAAUGGGCAGCCGGCGUAUUGAUUUCGGAGCGCAGUACAUCUCGCGCUUUGCACUCAUAACGACAGCGUCCAAAAGUACAUUUUACACUCUUGACCUCGGAUCAGGUAGGGAUACCCGCUGAACUUAAGCAUAUCAAUAAGCGGAGGA